GCGGACUGAAAGGGUUAAUAUGUGUGCGGCCUACUGAUAACACCACUCAGGCCAAUUACACGGGUCAACGGCUGUCGAUAGACAAGGGACAGUACUGCUAGUUCACGCAAAUAUGACCCAUGUUGUGGUCAUGUGAUCGAGAGCCUUCACGGAUUAGCGACAGUGUGUAACAAGAGACAGUUGAGUCCAGGACAGCAAAGCAACAAAGUUCACCUCCUGCCUCCAUCUGAUGUUACAAUAUUAUUCGCAAAUUCUUCUGUAAUAACAAUUAGAUGGGAUGCACCAUUAGUGUAUGCAGCUCAGUUCAGUGAAAUAACUGAUGGAUAUGAAAAUCACACAAGUUUGGAUCCUACAACAAAAAUGUCUUUUCAGAAGGUUAAUACCACUAGAAAUUCAAUAGAUGGAAAACUACUUAACAAAACAGAUAAAUUGAAUUCGACUACGAAUUGUCUACCUUAUAAAACUUUAAAGAAGCUAUCUGAAGAAAUUUGGGAGUCACCAACAGAUACAGUAACACAAGAUUUAAAUAGCAAAAAGAAUGGAAAUACUUCAAGUAACUUCGAUGUUAAUGUAGUACCUUAUGCACAAGGCUGUGUUGAGAAAUAUAUAAUAAGAUGGCAAGAGAUUACUAGUACCAGUACCAGUGAAGGUUUGUUUGAUUAGUUAAU
rnacentral:sRNA from 1 species